GCCCCUGUAGUUCAAUGGAGAGAACAUUGGUUUCCGGAACCAAAGAUUGGGGGUUCGAGUCCCUCCAGGGGCG
rnacentral:tRNA from 1 species